ACAGUGGACGGCUUGGGUGCAUGGCAGGUUGGGAAAAAAGUACCGACUACCCAUACCUUCUUGUGCUGUGGACAAAAUCCGGAAAGCAUUUCCUUCGCCUUCUGGAGAAUACAAAGGAUUUGAAUAUGCUCAACACUACUGAAUGCGAGAUUUAUGUUGCUUAAUGGCUUCAGCUUUGCUGAUUUUUGAUUUGUGGUGAGUCAAUGGGACAGGUAUUUCUUUCACUCCAGCGACAUCAAGAGCUUUGGAGAGUGUUGGAUUAAUGCGUCUGCAGUACAAAACUUCUUUCAUCAAGUCCUUAACAUAUCCUGAAAAGCAAAUCAUUAUUUAUGUUGGCUUUGCAUUGCACUUUGAGAAAAGGUAAGUUUAUUUUUCUGUGCUAACCAUAAGUGCUGUCAACUUUCACUGGUUUGAUGACCCCUUGUCCUUCUUUUGACUUUGAAUAAGCCACUCUCCAAAUCAAUGCCUCUUCUGUUUGCCCAUCAUUUUUCGUUUUCUGAGGUUUAUUUCCAUUCUCAUUGAAAUGAAGAGCAGCAAUAAACAAUCUACAAAUGAAUGUUAAGUUUAUAUUUACAACUAUUGCAACUUAUUGCUUUUGCAAUGAUGACUUUUUUAAGUAAUCAUACACUAGUCAUAAUUAUAUUACCUUGCUUCCAUUGAUCUGUAGAAAAAAUGGGUAUGUUUUGGUGCAAAAAGAAUCACCACUCGGUGGAAACCUUCGAUGGAUGAAGUCUGCUUCUGAUAACUGAGUUUUCCAAUAUCUCUCAUGAGAUACUUGGACUCAACAAUCGAAGACAGCUCAACAUAAGCUUUUGAACCUAAGAUCAGAAGCUCUAACAUAUCAUGUUCACAUUUUGGGAAUACAUCACUAUGUCCCUCAUGGAUGUCACAUAUAUGAUUGAGAACUGACAACCACUUUGCCUUGACAAGUUCUUCAUCACCAUUGCUGGAAGCAGCACACCAGUAUACAUGGUUGGAAAUUGAUUGGGCCCAAUUCGACAAUAAUUUGCAAACACUUUUUUUUGAUGCUGCUAAAAUUUUCUUUUUGAUUCCUGUUGGAAUUUAAUUAUUGAUGAAAUGUGUAAAAGGUUGGUUUGUUAUGACAAUCUAUACCUUUUGCUACAUGCCAUACAUCAAAGUAGUGCUCGAUUUUUGGUCUUUGUUUUGACAUGUAGGAUUAUAUAGCUUAGUUUUUGAUAAAUGUAAACAAAUAUUGCUAACUAUAACUAUAAUAUUCA